GUGACUCACAGACUUUACAGAGUCGUAAAGCAGUCCCCGCCCAGCUGGACAGGGGAGAUGCGGUGGGGACGGCUAGGGAAAGGGGGGCUGUGAAAGAGCCGGGAGGGGAGGAGGAGAGUGAGAGGGCGAGGCGUUAUGGGGGGCGGGGAGCGAAGCGGAAUCACUCAAUGCCGAAGCCCGCCGCUCCGACGGGCGUGGGGGUCGGCCAAUGACGGUGCGGCUCGAUAGGCGGCAGGCUUCGCCCCUGGCCCAAUGAGUCUUCUAAGGACACUGCCGCUAACCGGGCGGGGGGAAGUGGAGUGGGGGGUGGGGAGUGGUGGGUGGACGUUGAAGUAGGGAGGGAGCGGUGGAGAGAAAGAUGAGGCACCGGAGACCGGCGGAGUCACUCAGCUCUCCUCGCUCCAGAAGUGCGCCUUCUGCCAAUCCGAGGGCCGCAUGGGGGUGAUGGACGCAAGCGUGUGCCCAAUGAGGAAAAGAAGGUGCCGCUCCGAGCCACAGGGGAAGGAGUGGGCGGGCCAAGGUCCUCCCCUCCCUCCGGCACCCGGGUCCUCCCUCCCGCCCUGUUCAGCCUUAUUCCAUGAUGUCAGCCUGCAUCCUGAGUCCACCUAAGAAAAUGAACCAACUUACACACUUCCUAUAGUGCCCAGAUUGUGUAUGCAUUGCCCCUCAUUGUGUUGAAACUUCUUUGCAGUUUGGCAAUGCAAGGACGCCAGCAUCAUCAUCCCAGGACAUAAUGAUAUUCAGGAGGGGGCUGUGUUCCCUUAGCCAGAUCACCCUGUGACGAUUGAAACACACUAAAUCCCUCCUGUGGGAAGAAUCAGCUCCAUUUCUAGUGUGGGCUAUGCUACUACAUUUAAGAGUGUGCUAAUGAUACUUUCAGAAAGCCUAUUUCAUAUUUCUCUUGCUGUGAGGUCAUUUUAUGACUCAGGUGAAUAUAACUGAUUGUGGUAUUAUCUUACAUACUAUGAAUGUCACUAAAAACAUAAGAUUUUGAGUCUAAACUACACUAGAGGAUCUUUCAGAGGAUCUCCAAAUAGCCAGGGUUAGCCUCCUGUGGCAGAAGUUGCUCCCUUGUCAGUUGUUAUUGGCAUGCCUCCAGUCCCCACCAUGUGUCAUCUUCUAAUUCUGUGCUCACCCUAUUCCAGUAUUUCUUAAAUGGUUGUCUUAGGCCCACCUAGAUUCCUGAGUUUGCUCUCAGACCUACUGAAUCAUCAUCUCUGUAAGCUGGUCAUGGGCUUCUGCAUUUUUAGCAAAUAUGCCUGUGACAUGAAUAAAUAUUAAAAAAUCAAAUGUUUCA
rnacentral:lncRNA from 1 species